AAUUCGAUUGAGUUUGAUCAUGGCUCAGGAUAAACGCUGGCGGCGUGCAUGAGACAUGCAAGUCGAACGGACGAUCGAGGCUUGCUUCGAUCGUUAGUGGCGGACGGCUGAGUAACGCGUAGGUGACCUGCCCCGAAGUGGGGAAUAACUGCCCGAAAGGGUGGCUAAUACCGCAUGUGGUGGUGCGUUCAAUCGCACCAGUAAAGCCGCAAGGCGCUUCGGGAGGGGCCUGCGUCCGAUUAGCUCGUUGGUGGGGUAACGGCUCACCAAGGCGACGAUCGGUAGGUGGUCUGAGAGGACGAUCACCCAGACUGGGACUGAGACACGGCCCAGACUCCUACGGGAGGCAGCAGUCGGGAAUUUUGCGCAAUGGACGAAAGUCUGACGCAGCAACGCCGCGUGAGGGAUGAAGGCCUUCGGGUUGUAAACCUCUUUUAUCAGGGAAGAUAAUGACGGUACCUGAUGAAUAAGUCACGGCUAACUACGUGCCAGCAGCCGCGGUAAUACGUAGGUGACAAGCGUUGUCCGGAUUUACUGGGCGUAAAGAGCGCGCAGGCGGUCGUUCAAGUCGAGUGUGAAAGCCCCCGGCUCAACUGGGGAGGGUCAUUCGAUACUGAUCGACUCGAAGGCAGGAGAGGGUAGUGGAAUUCCCGGUGUAGUG
rnacentral:rRNA from 1 species